AGAGUUUGAUCAUGGCUCAGAACGAACGCUGGCGGCAGGCUUAACACAUGCAAGUCGAGCGCCCCGCAAGGGGAGCGGCAGACGGGUGAGUAACGCGUGGGAACCUACCUUUCGGAUCGGAAUAACUCGGGGAAACUCGAGCUAACACCGGAUACGCCCUACGGGGGAAUGAUUUAUCGCCGAAAGAUGGGCCCGCGUUGGAUUAGCUAGUUGGUGAGGUAAUGGCUCACCGAGGCGACGAUCCAUAGCUGGUCUUAGAGGAUGAUCAGACACACUGGGACUGAGACACGGCCCAGACUCCUACGGGAGGCAGCAGUGAGGGAUGUUGCACAAUGGGGGCAACCCUGAUGCAGCGACGCCGCGUGGGUGAUGAAGGCGUUCGGGUCGUAAAGCACUUUCGGUGGGGAGGAAGGCCUUAGUGUUAAUAGCACUGAGGAUUGACGUUACCCACAGAAGAAGCACCGGCUAACUCUGUGCCAGCCGCCGCGGUAAUUC
rnacentral:rRNA from 1 species